CCCCAGAACGGAACCACUCACCUCAGCUGACAGCGCUGUUAGAAUUGCGUUUCAUGGAGACCGGGAAGACGGGAAACGAGCGUGUGUAUACAAUCUUGGAAGAUGUGGAAAGGCUGGGCUGACGGGCAGACAAAACGAAGGCUUCUAAGGCAUCUUGCCAAUGACCCUCCAGAAAUCUGGAUCUCUCCAACCUCUUCCCAUGUCACCUGGCAACAGGAAGUCUAAAACAUGUGCUGCCCACAGCAAAGAACCUGAACUUGGGUUUGGACAUGGUGUGAGAGCACUCUCCCUCACCUCCCACCUCUGCCGCAGUCUCCAGCACGUAAAUGAGAAACUGCAGUUGCAGAGGCAGGGAGAUUGGACAAACUGACGCAUCUUGAACAUCAGCUUCCUUCUGAAUCUGCAAGUCCUCAAGAAGAUGCAUCUGUUGCCGCACGUCAAAGGGAGGAGGGGGCAUUCAUGGGCCCUGGUGUGUUUGCUAGGCACCCAUAGGCGCCCAGAGAGGCCGUGCAUAGCAGCGGUUCAGCCAAGCUGGAGAAUCUGUAGCCCCUACAUGGGCCCCAGGGGUCUGGAAUUACGUGGGGGAGUUCCUUCAACCAGCCUGCGCACGGAAUCCUCCCCAUCUCCCCACCCCCUCCAGACCCGUUCUCCUGAAACCUAACCACGUUAGUCCCAGUCAGAUGUAUUUGUGCGUGCUAAGUCGCUUCAGUCAUGUCUGAGUUUUUACAACCUUGUGGACUAUAGCCCACCAGGCUCCUCUGUCCAUAGUAUUCUCCAGGCAAGAAUACUGGGUUGCCAUUUCCCUCUCCAGGGGAUCUUCCCAACCCAGGGAUCAAACCCAUGUCUCUUAAGUCUCCUGCAUUGGCAGGUGGGUUCUUUACCACUAGUACCACCCGGGAAGCCCAUUCGGUCACACCAAAUAAGAAAGUCCCCUUGACAGUCCCACUCCCGCAACACGCACACACACACACACAAUCUCACCAUCACACACGGCACAGAAGUGUCAGCCCUACAAG
ensembl:lncRNA